GGAUCCAUGGCACACGGCAGCGCGUUUGACUCCAGAUUAGAAGGCUGCAUGUUCGAAUCACGCCAGGUUCA
rnacentral:tRNA from 1 species